rnacentral:lncRNA from 1 species
GGAUGGAACAGAAAAAUACAACAGGCAAUUAAAAAAACUGGCACCUAUUAAGGGAUGAUCCAAUUCUAAAUAAGAUUAUACCACUCACACUAAAAAUUAUAUAUAGGACGACACACAGUUCUGGAGGUACAAAAAUCACUUUAUUUGCCACACACGGCUUUUAAACAUAACCCCAUGCAAGGGGUGUAACACAUAGCAUACAAUGUCCCCUCCCAGGAUCCUCCCCCUCCUCUGGAACCUAAAGCAUAACAGGGCUUUGCCCCUUUGUCUCCAAAAGCCUGCCACCCAAACACAGGGUUUCCCACAACCAGGGACAGGGGGGCUUUUAUCUCAUGAGUCUCUGUAACUGGGAGACCAAGUGGGUGAAAAAGGGACUGUCCCUUUGUCUAAACUCACAUUCUAAAAGGGGUUUUGGGGUUGGUCCCCAUUCUGGAGGCAAAUUAAUUACCUUUGUGGAUGCAAUCACAAACGUGGAGCAGGCAGAGGAAACGAAAAGAUGGACAUAAGAUCGGACAGGCAAUUCAUGGACAGGCAGUGAUUGCUGCCACACGCGUUUUGUAUAAUGUGUGUAUGGGCACUGUGUAUAAUGUGUGUAUACGCACUGUGUAUAAUGUGUGUAUGCGAGCUGUGUAUAAUGUGUGUAUGCGAACUGUGUAUAAUGUGUGUAAGUGCAGUGUGUAUAAUGUGUGAAUGCGCACUUUUUUAUAAUCUGAGUAUGCGCGUUGUGUAUGUGUGCCUGUGCACUUUGUAUAAUGUGUGUAUGUGCACUGUAUAUAAUAUGUGAAUGAGCGCUGUGUAUAAUAUGUGUAUGAACACUGUGUAUAAUGUGUGUAAGUGCGCUGUGUAUAAUGUGUGUAUAUGCCGUAUUGUGUGUUUCUUUUUAUGUUUUGCAAACAUGCCAACUCUCCUGGACAUUCCAGUAGUCUCCCGCAUUUUAAUGGCGGCUCCUGGACUCUACAAUUUUCCAGUAACCAACUUUUUUUGAGAUCAAGAGUAAAAUGGUCAUUUCUUAUCAUAAGGAAUGACCAUUAAACUCUCUCUCACAAAAAAAUCCAAAAGAAAAUAGAUUACCGGGAUAUUCAGGUUGGCUCCAUAAGGAGUCUUAUGGGAUCUGUAGUAGGGGAUCCAUAUCCCCUACUACAAGGCUGCAAGUGGGGUGAUUGAGGCUGCAAUAGGAGGCAUAGGGGGAACCAAUAUCCCCCCCCCUAUUCCAUCCAAAUUUUCCCCCAACAUCUCGAACCCCUUCAUAUCUUCCCCAAUAUCUUCCACCCUCUUUCUAUCCUCAUCUUCCCCCAAUACUCCCACCCCCUCAUAUCUUUCCCCGAUAUCUCCCACCCCCUUCCUUUCAUACCUCCCACUAGCCUCCCUCCUGCAAAUCAGCAAUUAGCUGCCUCCGAGAACACAGGCUCUGCACACACAAAGAUUCCUUCUGUUUUACCUGUCAUAACAGAGGAGGGGUCCCCUUGAAGUCCUGUUGGGUAUCCUUUCUCCGGCGGUGAGCAGUUUGACUGAGAGACAAGGCGCUCUCUAAUGGGAUAGUGUGUGCAGCUCCAUAAGGGAACCCACACUACAUUUCCUAACCACCCAAUUACAGCCUAUACCCUCUGUAGCGGAUAGCACCAGGCGACCCUACAAAUAUACUGUAUAUACCUGCAUUCGUGUAUCUGCUGUGUUUUCUAUGUAUUAAAGAGAAUUGUAUUCCUCUGAUUGUUCGGUAGUUUCAUUCCCUUAGUUUAUUCGAAUGAAACUACCGAACAACCAGACCUCCCUGUGUGAAGUGUGUCCUCAAUUACCCGUUGCAACAUUGUUGCGAACGGGUAAUUGAACAGUAAGUAGCCGUCCUUUGUUCUCGGGGGUGGCCGCCAUUCGACA